rnacentral:rRNA from 1 species
AACGAACGCUGGCGGCAGGCCUAGCACAUGCAAGUCGAACGCUCUAGCAAUAGAGAGUGGCAGACGGGUGAGUAACGCGUGGGAACCUUCCCUGUGGUGCGGAAUAACUCGCCGAAAGGCGUGCUAAUACCGCAUAAGCCCGCAAGGGGAAAGAUUUAUCGCCAUAGGAUGGGCCCGCGUAGGAUUAGCUAGUUGGUGAGGUAAUGGCUCACCAAGGCGACGACCUUAGCUGGUUUGAGAGAAUGACCAGCCACACUGGGACUGAGACACGGCCCAGACUCCUACGGGAGGGCAGCAGUGGGGAAUCUUGGACAAUGGGCGCAAGCCUGAUCCAGCCAUGCCGCGUGAGUGACGAAGGCCUUCGGUU